ACAGCCACAUCACAUUGAAGCACCAGUUCCUGUAUGAUCACCAAAGUUAAGCAACAUCAAGCCUGUUCAGUGCCUAGAUGGGUGACCGUUUGGGAAUAUCAGGUGUUGUAA